AACGAACGCUGGCGGCAUGCCUAACACAUGCAAGUCGAACGAGACCUUCGGGUCUAGUGGCGCACGGGUGCGUAACGCGUGGGAACCUGCCCUUAGGUUCGGAAUAACUCCCCGACAGGGGUGCUAAUACCGGAUAAUGUCUUCGGACCAAAGAUUUAUCGCCUUUGGAUGGGCCCGCGUUGGAUUAGCUAGUUGGUAGGGUAAAAGCCUACCAAGGCGACGAUCCAUAGCUGGUCUGAGAGGAUGAUCAGCCACACUGGGACUGAGACACGGCCCAAACUCCUACGGGAGGCAGCAGUGGCGAAUAUUGGACAAUGGGCGAAAGCCUGAUCCAGCAAUGCCGCGUGAGUGAUGAAGGCCUUAGGGUUGUAAAGCUCUUUUACCCGGGAUGAUAAUGACAGUACCGGGAGAAUAAGCUCCGGCUAACUCCGUG
rnacentral:rRNA from 1 species